AUGUUCAAGCUCUGCAACUUGAAGCCAGCUUUGCCAACCACCUUUCCCGUGCCAGAUUUUAGCGACCAGAAUAUGUGUGAGAAGGUCAACUUUGCCAUUGACAAGAGCCUCUUCUUAUCAAGUGAUGCUGAAAAGAAUCAAAUUGACAUGGAGGAAGCAGGAAAGGGUCUUGACUGGGUUCAUUCAAAGGAAAAAUACAAGGAAUAUUUGAAGCAGCUUCCAGACCUAAGCUCCAGCAAGAGCAAGGGAGCAUCCAUGGCAAACCCUCACGUGGUCCAGAAGCGUAAAGCAGUUUCAAUGAAGAAGAAUCUGCAGUUGCCUCAAACCAAGGAGAAGAUGGUGAGUGCAGAUGCUGAAGUAAAUAUGGUCAAGGAAGCUGUGCUUCAAACUGAUAUGCCAACUGUAGUGAGCAGAGAGCCAACCACCAUCACAGGAGUUCAACAGAUCAAGGGGAAGACUCCCCUUUCAACAGUCCCACCAAAACCACCUAAGCAGCAAAAGAUUGUCAAGUUUGCCAGGGGCACAAAGGGGGAACAUGUCACAAAAGGGGUGCCAAGUUCCGCUAGGUUGCUGCCAACUCAGACUGGAAAGAUGCCAACUACAGAUACCAGUGUGCCAACUGAUGUGUCAGUUAGCAGCGUGGUCACAGUCAAAACCACCACAGCUGCUCAGGAAGGCACCACUGCAACUGCAAGCCCCAAGGUGCCUACUCAUAGAGAUGCUUCAAUGCCAAACACAACAGGAGGUGAUCCUACUACCGAAGUGCCAUCCCCAAGAGCUAGCACACAGUAG
rnacentral:rRNA from 1 species